rnacentral:rRNA from 1 species
CCUACGGGUGGCAGCAGUGGGGAAUAUUGCACAAUGGGCGCAAGCCUGAUGCAGCCAUGCCGCGUGUGUGAAGAAGGCCUUCGGGUUGUAAAGCACUUUCAGCGGGGAGGAAGGCGUUAAGGUUAAUAACCAUGGCGAUUGACGUUACCCGCAGAAGAAGCACCGGCUAACUCCGUGCCAGCAGCCGCGGUAAUACGGAGGGUGCAAGCGUUAAUCGGAAUCACUGGGCGUAAAGCGCACGCAGGCGGUCUGUCAAGUCGGAUGUGAAAUCCCCGGGCUCAACCUGGGAACUGCAUUCGAAACUGGCAGGCUAGAGUCUUGUAGAGGGGGGUAGAAUUCCAGGUGUAGCGGUGAAAUGCGUAGAGAUCUGGAGGAAUACCGGUGGCGAAGGCGGCCCCCUGGACAAAGACUGACGCUCAGGUGCGAAAGCGUGGGGAGCAAACAGGAUUAGAUACCCUUGUAGUC